rnacentral:rRNA from 1 species
AUGCAGAUUGAUGUCACUUCAUCUGAUGGCAAGACGACGGCGAAGGCGCCAAACACUGAAUUCCAAACCUGGUAUGCCGAAGAUCAACAAGUUUUCUCCUAUCUCCUGACGACACUGCCUCGUGAGAUCGCCAUCCAUGUUGCAUCAUGUCACACCGCUGCUGAACUCUGGAACACGGUGGGGGGGAUGCUUGCAUCUCACACCCGUUCUCAGACCACCAACGUCAGGAUUGCCCUCGCCAACCUGCAGAAGGGCAACUCCUCCAUCACCGACUAUAUAUGUCGCGAAGAUCAAGUCCCUCUGUGA